GACGAACGCUGGCGGCGUGCUUAACACAUGCAAGUCGAACGGUGAAGGAAGAGCUUGCUCUUCCGGAUCAGUGGCGAACGGGUGAGUAACACGUGGGCAACCUGCCCUGACUCUGGGAUAACUCCUCGAAAGAGGUGCUAAUACCGGAUACGACCACUUCGGACAUCCGAUGGUGGUGGAAAGUUUUUCGGUCAGGGAUGGGCCCGCGGCCUAUCAGCUAGUUGGUGGGGUAAUGGCCUAUCAAGGCGACGACGGGUAGCCGGCCUGAGAGGGCGACCGGCCACACUGGGACUGAGACACGGCCCAGACUCCUACGGGAGGCAGCAGUGGGGAAUAUUGCGCAAUGGGCGAAAGCCUGACGCAGCGACGCCGCGUGAGGGAUGAAGGCCUUCGGGUUGUAAACCUACUUUCUAGCAGGGACGAAGCGAAAGUGACGGUACCGAACCAGAAAGACCACGGCUAACUACGUAGCCAGCAGCCGCGGUAAU
rnacentral:rRNA from 1 species